rnacentral:rRNA from 1 species
CCUACGGGAGGCAGCAGUGAGGAAUAUUGGUCAAUGGGCGCGAGCCUGAACCAGCCAAGUCGCGUGAGGGAGGACGGCCCUACGGGUUGUAAACCUCUUUUGCCGGGGAGCAACGGGCGUCACGUGUGGCGCCACUGAGAGUACCCGGAGAAAAAGCAUCGGCUAACUCCGUGCCAGCAGCCGCGGUAAUACGGAGGAUGCGAGCGUUAUCCGGAUUCAUUGGGUUUAAAGGGUGCGCAGGCGGGCCUUUAAGCCGGCGGUGAAAUCGCGGGGCUCAACCCCGCCGAGCCGUCGGAACUGGGGGCCUUGAGUGCGGCGGAGGCAUGCGGAAUGCGCGGUGUAGCGGUGAAAUGCAUAGAUAUCGCGCAGAACCCCGAUUGCGAAGGCAGCGUGCCGUGCCGCCACUGACGCUGAGGCACGAAAGCGCGGGGAUCGAACAGGAUUAGAUACCCUAGUAGUC